rnacentral:rRNA from 1 species
CCAGACUCCUACGGGAGGCAGCAGUGGGGGAUAUUGCACAAUGGGGGGAACCCUGAUGCAGCGACGCCGCGUGGGUGAAGGAGUGCUUCGGCAUGUAAAGCCCUAUCGGCAGGGAAGAAGCAAGACGGUACCUGACUAAGAAGCCCCGGCUAACUACGUGCCAGCAGCCGCGGGAAUACGUAGGGGGCAAGCGUUAUCCGGAUUUACUGGGUGUAAAGGGAGCGUAGGCGGCGACGCAAGUCAGAAGUGAAAGCCCGGGGCUCAACUCCGGGACUGCUUUUGAAACUGCGUUGCUAGAUUGCGGGAGAGGCAAGUGGAAUUCCUAGUGUAGCGGUGAAAUGCGUAGAUAUUAGGAGGAACACCGGCGGCGAAGGCGGCCUGCUGGACCGCGACUGACGUUGAGGCUCGAAAGCGUGGGGAGCGAACAGGAUUAGAUACCCUAGUA